rfam:Nippostrongylus brasiliensis genome assembly, scaffold: NBR_scaffold0000383
ACAUCGGUAGCACAGUGGUUUAUGCAGUCUGCCGGAAACAGACGCGGGUUCAAUUCCCGUCCGAUGUC